rnacentral:rRNA from 1 species
AAGUCGUAACAAGGUUUCCGUAGGUGAACCUGCGGAAGGAUCAUUACCAAGAUUACGGGGCUGGCUUCGGCUGGCCUGUCUGAACCCUUGUCUUUUGCGUACUUACACGUUUCCUCGGUGGGCUUGCCCGCCGUUAGGACUAUUCACAACCAUUUGCAGUUGCAAUCAGCGUCUGAAAAAACAUAAUAGUUACAACUUUCAACAACGGAUCUCUUGGUUCUGGCAUCGAUGAAGAACGCAGCGAAAUGCGAUAAGUAGUGUGAAUUGCAGAAUUCAGUGAAUCAUCGAAUCUUUGAACGCACAUUGCGCCCCUUGGUAUUCCAUGGGGCAUGCCUGUUCGAGCGUCAUUUGUACCCUCAAGCUCUGCUUGGUGUUGGGUGUUUGUCCCACCUCCGCGUGCGGACUCGCCUCAAAGCAAUUGGCAGCCGGCGUAUUGGCCUGGGAGCGCAGCACAAUUUGCGCUCUCGACCUCCAUUACAACGGCGUCCAUUAAGCCCAUUUAUCACUUUUGACCUCGGAUCAGGUAGGGAUACCCGCUGAACUUAA